rnacentral:rRNA from 1 species
UGCUUGGCGACCAUAGCGCUUUGGACCCACCUGACUCCAUGCCGAACUCAGAAGUGAAAACAGAGCAGCGCCGAUGGUAGUGUGGGGUCUCCCCAUGUGAGAGUAGGACAUCGCCAGGC